CGCCGGAAAGCAACGGCCGCAGCCAGCACCGAGUGGAGCGGGUCAGCAUGGGGAAAAUCGCCCUGCAACUCAAAGCCACGCUGGAGAACAUCACCAAUCUCCGGCCCUUGGGCGAGGACUUCCGGUGGCACCUGAAGAUGAAAUGUGGCAACUGUGGUGAGAUUUCGGACAAGUGGCAGUACAUCCGGCUGAUGGACAGUGUGGCACUGAAGGGGGGCCGUGGCAGUGCUUCCAUGGUCCAGAAGUGCAAGCUGUGUGCAAGAGAAAAUUCCAUCGAGAUAUUAAGCAGCACCAUCAAGCCUUACAAUGCUGGGUUUGCUGCUGAAGGUGUGGAGUCAGGGACAGUCUUCAGUGACAUUAAUUUGCAGGAGAAGGACUGGACUGACUAUGAUGAAAAGGCCCAGGAGUCUGUGGGAAUCUACGAGGUCACCCACCAGUUUGUGAAGUGCUGAUCCCUCUUCCUGCACAGUUGCCCUUACAAACUGAGAAAGGACAAUGUACCCAAGCAGUAGAGCCCACAGAGGCUGGUUCCUUUGCCCCUUGUCUCCUGGCGGCUAUACCAAACCUUCACAGUCUGCAUGCUGGACUUGAUUACAGCUUCCCAAGCCCCAUCAAUAAAGCCCCUGUUCAUGCUGCACUGGUGUAUGAAGGUGAAGUAAGGAAGCAGCUACUCCCUCUGCAAAUAAGAAUUCGUGCAGCAGCAGUUCACUCCUUAGGAAUAUGAAGAGUAUUUUUAAGGAGAUGGUAUCUCCCCAGUCAAGGGCAAGUUUACAGAGAGGAAACUGCGAUCCCACCAUCACUCAAUGAGCCAGAAGCCAAUGGUGACGUACUAUUACCCGAACUUACUGAACUUGCUGUUGGAAAGAUCUUUGUGAGGAUUAGGAAUUAGGUUAAAAAAAAUUAAGAACCAUCUUCAAGCAAAAAUUAAACUUUAUUUCUGGCUUAAACAAUAAAUACACCUGAGUUAGUUUUUCAAA